GACGUAGGGGGCGAGCGUUGUCCGGAUUUAUUGGGCGUAAAGAGCGCGUAGGCGGCCCGGAAAGUCGGAUGUGAAAACCCGGGGCUCAACCCCGGGCCUGCAUCCGAUACUCCUGGGCUGGAGGCAGGUAGGGGAGAUCGGAAUUCCUGGUGUAGCGGUGAAAUGCGCAGAUAUCAGGAGGAACACCGGUGGCGAAGGCGGCCUUCUGGACAGUGACUGACGCUGAGACGCGAAAGCGUGGGGAGCAAACAGG
rnacentral:rRNA from 1 species